AAAGUCAGACAGAGACUCUGCAG
rnacentral:miRNA from 1 species